rnacentral:rRNA from 1 species
GUUAUAUAGUCAAGCAACUAAGCGCAUACGGUGGAUGCCUUGGCAGUCAGAGGCGAUGAAAGACGUGGAAGCCUGCGAUAAGGUUCGGGGAGCUGGCAAACGAGCUGUGAUCCGGACAUCUCUGAAUGGGGAAACCCACCGACUUUCGGGUCGGUACCUUACACUGAAUCCAUAGGUGUAAGGGGCGAACCGGGGGAACUGAAACAUCUAAGUACCCCGAGGAAAAGAAAUCAACCGAGAUUCCCUAAGUAGCGGCGAGCGAACGGGGACUAGCCCUUAAGCUAGACAACUGGUAGGAGAAGGCUCUGGAAAGUGCCGCCAUAGUGGGUGAUAGCCCCGUAUCCGAAACCUGAGUCUGGUGAAAU